rnacentral:rRNA from 1 species
UCGGGAAUUUUGGGCAAUGGGCGAAAGCCUGACCCAGCAACGCCGCGUGAGGGAUGAAGUAUUUCGGUAUGUAAACCUCGAAAGAAUGGGAAGAAUAAAUGACGGUACCAUUUAUAAGCUCCGGCUAACUACGUGCCAGCAGCCGCGGUAAUACGUAGGGAGCAAGCGUUGUUCGGAUUUACUGGGCGUAAAGGGCGCGUAGGCGGCGCGGUAAGUCACUUGUGAAAUCUCUGAGCUUAACUCAGAACGGCCAAGUGAUACUGCUGUGCUAGAGUGCGGGAGGCAACCGGAAUUCUUGGUGUAGCGGUGAAAUGCGUAGAUAUCAAGAGGAACACCUGAGGCGAAGGCGGGUUGCUGGGCCGACACUGACGCUGAUGCGCGAAAGCCAGGGGAGCAAACG